rnacentral:rRNA from 1 species
AUUGAACGCUGGCGGAAGGCCUAACACAUGCAAGUCGAACGGCAGCACAGGAGAGCUUGCUCUCUGGGUGCCGAGUGGCGGACGGGUGAGCAAUACAUCGCAAUCUACCUUUUCGUGGGGGAUAACGUCGGGCAACAUACGCUAAUACCGCAUACGAUCUACGGGUGUAACUGGGGGACCGCAAGGCCUGAGGCGAUUAGAUGAGCCGGUGCCCGAUUAGAUAGUUGGCGGGGUAACGGCCCACCAAGGCGACGAUCGGUAGCUGGUCUGAGAGGAUGAUCAGCAACACUGGAACUUAGACACGGUCCAGACUCUUAGGGAAGGCAGCAGUGGGGAAUAUUGGACAAUGGGCGCAGGCCUGAUCCAGCCAUACCGCGUGGGGGAAGAAGGCCUUAGGGUUGUAAAGCCCUUUUGUUGGGAAAGAAAUACUGUCGAUUAAUACUCGGUGGGGAUGACGUUACCCAAAGAAUAAGCACCGGCUAACUUCGUGCCAGCCGCCGCGGUAAAAC